AGGUAGUGGUAUGGUCUGUGUACCCUCUACCCUCCCCAGACCCUACUAGGUGGGAAUACACUGGGUAUGUUGUUGUUGUUGUAUAUUUUUGACAUGCAAGUUUCAAUUGGCCAACACUCUGCUCCAUGUAACAUAGUCGGCCUAACCACCAUUCUAUAGAACUUUCAUUUAAGUUUUGGUGAUACAUUCUUAUCACACAGGACUCCCGAGGCAGGCCUCUAUUUCACCCACCUUGCACUAAUACAAUGUGUGAUGUCAUCAUUGAUCUCUCCGUUGCCCUGAAUUAAGAUUCAAGAUAAUCGAAACUAUCUCUCUUGGGUGUGGCAUGUAUAUCUAGUCUCACUUUCAUUCCACCCUCAUUUGACAAGUCAUUGAACUUGCACUCCAAGUAUUUUAUUUUGGUCCUGCUCAACUUGAACCAUUUAAACUCUUAAGGUCUGUCUUCAAACUCCACUGCAAGUCUCGUCUAUCAGUACUAUGUCAUCAGCAAAUAACAUGCAUCGUGGAUUGUUAAUAAUAUUGUUUGUUAUUUUGUCCCAAAAAUUUAUUUCUGUGUUUUGCUUCUCCAAUUACUUAAGCAACUAUCUUGCGGCUAUGUUAGAUUAUGCAUAAUCCAGAUCAGCCAAGUAACAUCCCAUAAUUUUCCUUGUUUCAUUGUAGGGAUUCUUUUAAUCAUUAUAUUCCCUGAUGAUGCAGUUGACCCUUUGUGUUGUAGGUUUUGAAGACUCCUCGCGACCUUCAUUUUUCUUGGGUAACAUAAGUAUCAUAUUCAUUUCAUUAUUGGGAGACCUAUUCUUGCAUAUGCAUAAAUAUUCCAAAUUAUGACGGUAAUCAUACUUUUUCAUCGGCAUUUUGGGGUUUCUCGAUUCUUGAUUUACUGGGUAGUGCCUUCUUUGUGGGUUAUGACUCAAGAUUACUCAUGACUAAAGCUGCUUAAAGUAUGCCCGUGAAUCUAUGAUUAAAACAAAAGGGGCAGCCCAGUGCACUAAAGUCCCGCUAUGCACAGGGUCCAAGAAAGGGUCGGACCACAAGGGUCUAGUUUACGCAGCUUUAUCUUGCAUUUUUGUCAAAGGGGCAUUAUUCUCUAUUGGGUUAGCCACUUUAUUAUAUUGUUGUUAUAUUUUCUUCAAAUCCGACACCCUAUCAUAGUUUUUUUUUCCUCUUUAUAAGGUAUAAGGACUAGUAUCAAUAAGGAAAAAACAUCAGUAUUUACUACAGAAUUGCAACUCGAUUGAUCUAAGUAUUGGAUCUUGGAUCUCCAUCUCCUCUAAUGUCAUGACACAUAACACAUAGAUCUCCCUGUAGCUCUGGAGAAGCAACGAAAUGAUCUCACUAUCUUUUAAUCUACUGUGAGGUUAACAAUCAUUCAUAAAAUAUAGAAACAACAACAAUAAACCCAGGAUAGCGUCAAAAGCGCGGUUUGGGGAGGGUAGAGUGGAUGUAGUCGUUACCCAUACUUCAAGGAGGUAGAGAGGUUGUUUCAAAGAGACCCUUGGCUCGAAUAACAAACAUUAGAGCAGCUAACUAAACAAUAUGGAAAACAUAACAUAGCAUACCAAAGAGGAGCAGUAACGAUAACCAGCUAAUGUGAUAACUGAAACACUAAAUAAUAAGGAAAAACAUAAGUCGAAAGACAGGCCAGCUACGAGACCAAUCCUACUAUUGGUAUAAACUGGGAAACAGAUACAAUGCACUAACCUUUUUUGAAAAUCCUGCUAGGAAAAGAGACAAUGCUCAACUACCUAGUAACCUUCUACCCUAUUUUGCGGCUUUUUGAUACCUUCCUAUCUAAGGUCAUGACCUCAAAAAGCUAAAAUUGUUAAUGUCCUGCGUAAUCACCUCUCCCCAGUACUUUUUCGACGUACCUCGACCUCUCCUAAAAUACACAGUGGCCAACCUUUCGCGCUUCCUCGCUUGGCCUUAGUGCACCUACUCUUCACAUGAACAAACCAUCUCAGUUUCAUUUCCGUCAUCUUGUUCACUAUGGAGGUCACUCCCACAUUGUUUAGUAAAUUUUCAUUCUUAAUUUUAUCCCUCUCUCCUUGUCUAGUAAAUUUUCAUUCUUAAUUUUCUCUCUCCUCGUAUGACCACUCAUCCACCUCAAUAUCCUCAUUUCCGUCACUUUCAUCUUUUUGACAUGUGAGUUUUAAUUGACCAACACUUUGCUCCAUACAACAUAGCCGAUCUAACCACCAUUCUAUAGAAGUCUCCUUUAAGUUUUGGUGGUGCAUUCUUAUCACUGAGGCGAGCCUCCAUUUCCCUACCCUGCACUGAUACAAUGUAUUAGAGAUGCAUGAUUAUUGAAAUUUCUCACUUCCAUGUCACCCUCAUGCGACAUGUCAACGAAAUUGCACUCCAGGUAUUCUGUUUUGGUCCUGCUCAACUUGAACCUUUAGACUCUAAGGUCUGUCUCCGAACCUCUAGCUUAGUCAUGACAAUCUCAGAAAUGAUGUUUGUUAUUUUGUCUCCUAAAUUUUAUUUCGGUGUUUUGCUUGUCCUGUUACUUAAGUAGUUAUCUUGCACCUAUGUUAGAUUAUGCAUUAUCCAUAUCAGCUAUAAGUAGCAUCUCAUAGUUUUCCUUAUUUCAUUAUAGGGAAUUUUUUUAUCAUUAUUCCCUCAUGAUGCAGUUGACCCUUUCUGGUGGUUGUAGGUUCUGAAGACUCCUCACGACCUUCAUUUUCUUGGGUAACACCAGUAUCAUAUUCAUUUCAUUAUUAGAAGACUUAAUUCUUUCAUAUGCAUAAAGAUUCCAAAUUAUGAUGGUGACCAUAAUUUUCCUCGGCAUUUCUCGGUUCUUGAUUUACUGGAUAGUGCCUUCUUUGUGGGUUAUGAGUUAUGACUCAAGAUUACUCAUGAUGUAUUGAUUUCCUGGAUAGUGCCUUCUUUGUGGGUUAUGACUCAAGAUUGCUCAUGAUGUAUUGAUUUCUUCAUAUUCUUCACUUUCUGAAAAAACUCGCUUUAAGAGUUUUUGAAGAUGAGGCAAGGCCCGUGGCAAAGGCAUAUCUGGUUGUACAAAUUUUCUUUCAUGUGUUGAUCAUAUUGGUGUGAUGGAAGGACUACAUUUGCUUGAUUGAUUUAAAGGGCGGAGGAGAAUAAUCUUGGUAUGGUCUCUGUACUUGGUAACACCAAGUAGAACCAAGGAGCGUACAUAUAGCUGAGGUUGAUUUGUGUUAAGAAACGAAAGCAGCAGCUUAAAAUAUAUGCAAAAAAUACGUGUCUGGAGUUUAUUUUAUAGAUGUUUUGAGAAACAGGUCACUGUCUGUUGAGAUUCGGCCAUUGUCGGGGUACUCCAUAGCCUCCAAAUCUCUAAUAUGUUCUCUACUCACUGGUUUACUUCUCCCAAGCAAUUCUUGUGCACUGGUUUUGGUUCUGUGAGGAGCCCACUCAAUGCAAUCAGUACAGAAGCAAGCAUAUACUUAAAGAUUGGGCUAAAAGUCUGGAUAGGCAGGCAAAACUAAUGUUGAGGUUUCUGGAAAACGCUAAACUUAGCCCCCUGUGUCUCACCAUCCAUUUAUCAGUUUAGGAGUUCUGCUCUUAAUAGUUUGUGCAGGUUGGCUUGAGUUGGUGACAAUGAGUUUUUUCCCAAAUAAAUUCACCUGAAUGAAAUGAUAAAGAGAUGGCAGUGAACAUAGUUCAGAGUCAGCUUUUUUCAUCCGUGUAACAUGUUGAGACCUUGUUGGACAAGAAAAAAUAUAUAUAUAUAUACAAGAACGCUACAUCUGUGAUUAAAGCUUGUGACCCAGAGCAGUUUUGGAACCACCUUUGUCGCACUAGAAGUUUCACUUGUGUGAAGAAGAUUUAACAAUUUAAUGUACCCACAACAUGGGGUCUAGGAAAUAUCGUGUAUGUGAUUUAACAAUUUAAUGUAAACAGGGAAAAAGGUGUUUUUUUUUUUUUUUUUUAUUUGCAUAGUAUGAUUUUAGGUCUAAGGAAAUUCAAUUGAACUUGCUACAUGUGGUUUUGGUGGGAUAUUUGCAGUAUGGUUCUUUGAGCUUUACUUGA